rnacentral:tRNA from 1 species
GCCUCGGUGGCUUAGCCUGGUAUAGCACUUGCUUGGUAAGCAAGAGGUCCCGUGUUCAAAUCACGGCCGAGGCU